rnacentral:rRNA from 1 species
GCUACACAUGCAAGUCGAGCGAUCUCUUCGGAGAUAGCGGCGGACGGGUGAGUAACGUUGANGAACAUACCCAGAGGUACGGAACAACAGUUAGAACAGACUGCUAAUACCGUAUACGCCCUACGGGGGAAAGAAUUUCGCCUUUGGAUUGGCCCGCGUUGGAUUAGAUAGUUGGUGGGGUAACGGCCUACCAAGUCUACGAUCCAUAGCUGGUUUGAGAGGAUGAUCAGCCACACUGGGACUGAGACACGGCCCAGACUCCUACGGGAGGCAGCAGUGGGGAAUCUUAGACAAUGGGCGCAAGCCUGAUCUAGCCAUACCGCGUGAGUGAUGAAGGCCUUAGGGUCGUAAAGCUCUUUCGCCAGGGAAGAUAAUGACUGUACCUGGUAAAGAAGUCCCGGCUAACUCCGUGCCAGCAGCCGCGGUAAUACGGAGGGGACUAGCGUUGUUCGGAAUUACUGGGCGUAAAGCGCACGUAGGCGGACCAGAAAGUAUGGGGUGAAAUCCCAGGGCUCAACCCUGGAACUGCCUCAUAAACUCCUGGUCUAGAGUUCGAGAGAGGUGAGUGGAAUUCCGAGUGUAGAGGUGAAAUUCGUAGA